AGAGUUUGAUCCUGGCUCAUAAUCAACGCUGGCGGCGUGCCUCAGACAUGCAAGUCGAACGCGAAAGGCUCCUUCGGGGGCCGAGUACAGUGGCGCACGGGUUGAUAACACGUGGGUAAUUUACCUUUGGGUGGGCGAAUAGCUCCUGAGGCCCUGCUGUCGAGGUGGGAAUUCCGCGGCUAGGAGGUGUAGACAACGGGUCGGCCCCAAUGUGCGCGACAACUUGGCCUUGCAGAAGAGGUGCGGCGCGCAUCGGCGGACAAGCACCAGGGUGGUGUCAGGCGGGGACCGGGGGUGAGUGGGGCGGGCGCCGACGAGCGAGGAGGAGGGGGGAGGCAGGCUGCGGUCCGUGCUGUGAGUGGGAGUGGGGGCUGGGGGUUCGUGGGUGUUCCGCGCGUCGGGCGCGGAUGACUGAGGCAUCAGAGGGUGGUGGGGCCGGGGACGCGGUCCGCGGGUCGUGGUGGUGCUGGCGCCGCCGCUGAGGGCGGGGUGAUGGGUGGUCGCUGCGAAGCGGGGUCGGUGUGCCGGCGAGGUGUGAUGGGUCGGCAUUCCGGGCGGCCGGUGGUGUCUUGGCGCAGAGAGUCGGCAGGGUGGGACGUGACCGAGAGCGGACGAGGGACAGGUCAGGGGGGGGGGCGGGGGUGGGGGGACGGCGGGGCAGGGGGCGUGACGGAGGUCUGGGUGGACUGAGCGACGACGAGAUGCGGGGGGGAGAGCCCGUACGGGCCUAUCCGGGGGCGUGGCUGCCUGUUUGGUAGCGGCAGUGCGAGGGGUCGGCAAUAAGUGUCUCGGUGGGUGCGCCGGUGCCCGUGCGGCCCAUCUUUUACUUGUAUAGAGUUUGUAUUAGAAGCAGCGCGGC
rnacentral:rRNA from 1 species